rnacentral:rRNA from 1 species
UACAGAGGUCUCAAGCGUUGUUCGGAUUCAUUGGGCGUAAAGGGCGCGUAGGCGGCGGGGUAAGUCGGGUGUGAAAUCUCAGGGCUCAACCCUGAAACUGCACUCGAUACUGCUCUGCUUGAGGACUGGAGAGGAGACUGGAAUUUACGGUGUAGCGGUGAAAUGCGUAGAUAUCGUAAGGAAGACCAGUGGCGAAGGCGGGUCUCUGGACAGUUCCUGACGCUGAGACGCGAAAGCGUGGGGAGCGAACAGG